CGGUGUUCAGCUGAAGCUGGUUGAGCUCACACCAGCUGACAAAGUCCUUGAUGACCGUCCUGUAUUCCAGAUCGUUCCCCUCAGAAACAUAUCCAACAAUUGCUGUGUCAUCUGAGAACUUUAAAA